AAUUUGGCAGAGAUGCCUUAGUGCCUUCGGGAACCGUGAGACAGGUGCUGCAUGGCUGUCGUCAGCUCGUGUUGUGAAAUGUUGGGUUAAGUCCCGCAACGAGCGCAACCCUUAUCCUUUGUUGCCAGCGAUUCGGUCGGGAACUCAAAGGAGACUGCCGGUGAUAAACCGGAGGAAGGUGGGGAUGACGUCAAGUCAUCAUGGCCCUUACGGCCAGGGCUACACACGUGCUACAAUGGCGCAUACAAAGAGAAGCGACCUCGCGAGAGCAAGCGGACCUCAUAAAGUGCGUCGUAGUCCGGAUUGGAGUCUGCAACUCGACUCCAUGAAGUCGGAAUCGCUAGUAAUCGUAGAUCAGAAUGCUACGGUGAAUACGUUCCCGGGCCUUGUACACACCGCCCGUCACACCAUGGGAGUGGGUUGCAAAAGAAGUAGGUAGCUUAACCUUCGGGAGGGCGCUUACCACUUUGUGAUUCAUGACUGGGGUGAAGUCGUAACAAGGUAAGCGUAGCGAG
rnacentral:rRNA from 1 species